AAUAGAUACCCCGGUAGUCCACGCCGUAAACGAUGAGUGCUAAGUGUUAGAGGGUUUCCGCCCUUUAGUGCUGCAGCUAACGCAUUAAGCACUCCGCCUGGGGAGUACGGCCGCAAGGCUGAAACUCAAAGGAAUUGACGGGGGCCCGCACAAGCGGUGGAGCAUGUGGUUUAAUUCGAAGCAACGCGAAGAACCUUACCAGGUCUUGACAUCCUCUGACACUCCUAGAGAUAGGACGUUCCCCUUCGGGGGACAGAGUGACAGGUGGUGCAUGGUUGUCGUCAGCUCGUGUCGUGAGAUGUUGGGUUAAGUCCCGCAACGAGCGCAACCCUUGUUCUUAGUUGCCAGCAUUUAGUUGGGCACUCUAAGGAGACUGCCGGUGACAAACCGGAGGAAGGUGGGGAUGACGUCAAAUCAUCAUGCCCCUUAUGACCUGGGCUACACACGUGCUACAAUGGAUGGUACAAAGGGCUGCGAGACCGCGAGGUUUAGCCAAUCCCAUAAAACCAUUCUCAGUUCGGAUUGUAGGCUGC
rnacentral:rRNA from 1 species